UUCCCCUACUAUUGUAAAGCGGCUUUGAGGUCUCGAAAAGCGCUAUAUAAAUUCAAUUUAUUAUUAUUAUUACUUUAAGCGUGGAUUUACAACAGAUGAAAUACUCCAUUUACUUGCUGAUUCACAUGGGGUUGAACUAAGCAAGCGCACCCUUGAAAGAAUUUUGAGCAGGAAGCAGCUGUGGCGUCGAAAGAAUAAAACUGAUGUAGCUGAGGUGGCAAAUUUUAUUGAACAGCGACUGGAAACAUCUGGUCAGUGUCAUGGUUACAGAUGGAUGCACCAAAAAUGUUGGUUACAUGGAAUUGUGACUAACAGAGAAACAGUGUGAAUACUGCUGCAGUUAUUGGAUGGUGAAGGUGUUGAUCUGAGGUCAACAAACAGACUGCGAAGGCGCGUUUACCACAGCUGUGGUCCAAACUAUGUAUGGCACAUUGAUGUCUACGACAAGCAGAAGCCAUUUGGAAUCGCAAUCAGUGGAUGCAUUGAUGGGUUUUCCAGAAAGAUGAUAUGGCUUGAAGCUUACAAAACAAACAAUGAGCCAAAGAUCAUCGCUGGCUACUUCAUUGAUGCUGUUAUCAAUGCUGGAAGAACUUAAUGAGGUUGUAUUGACUUGGAACAACCACAGAGUCCGUCUAGUCCAUAACUCACGGUCACCCCAUGGACGUCCCUCCAUAUGACAUGCAGUCCCUCAUCUGUACGGAGGCAGAGAGCGUUUGCACUCUGUGGACCUGGAGAAGGUUCACGUCUGCCUUGACGAGUGUGUGUUCAAGGGUUAGGACUUCCCAUGUGAUGAAGAUGUGUUCCAUAUCUGUGUGGACCUCAUGUCAGAGUAUAACCUGACAUUAACGAAUGAUGUGUUUGAAACCAUUGACCUGUACAUCCAACUCAGACAGCUGAUGAACAAUGAACUAGAUCUAGAUCAUUAACUUUCCUGGGCUAGUGUCACAAUUUAUAUGUCAUAUUAUAUUAUAUUAUUUGUUUCCUGUUUAAUUCCAGGACAAAUUGAUCCCCUCUGCAUUCUUUCCAUCUGGAAAAAACAACUGCACAAGUUUCGUGCUGCCGUGCGUUUUGGUUGCGCCUCGGUAUACGCUUUACACUAAGUGAUGAGUUGCUGACAGCAGGAAGAGGCAGAGGGAGGACAGCAGCUCCAGAGGCCUCGAGGAGCCUCCUGAGAGAAGACUCCGUGGGGAUGCUGCCGUGCUGUCACAGCGUAGCUCCAGCCCGCAGCCCUCCACCUCUUCCUCUACCCCACCACAGGCCAGGCAGGAGGAUGUCCAGUUGGAGGUUCAGGUAAGACAGGUGAUCCAGCCAGGACACCCCAGGAGCCUAUGGACGACAGUCAGCCUGACGACGACGCGGCCUUGUCCCUCCUGCCGCAGCCCCGUGGUCUCUCACCCUCUGCUUUUCUUACAGUGUCCGAGAGCAUCAUGGCCUGGAUGUCUGACUGUGAUGUGAAACUCCUGCCGGAAACAGGCCUGGUGCAGAGCUCCACUGCAGGACCAGCCAGUAGCUGUGACAGGACCACACACACACACACACACACACACACACACACACACACACACACACACACACACACACACAC